GUGAACGUGGAGCGGUAUCUCGUUGCGGUAGUGGGCAGUGAAUGGCUGUCGCACGCGGAGCAAUUGCUCGCUCGAAGAAGAAUUCAAGAGGAGUUCUCGCGUUUUCCACAUGGCACACGACCUAAUUCGUCCAUCUUACAAAUACGCACAGAGGGGUUUCUAAAUAUAAUUUCCAGGGAUUAACGGUCGAUCCGUUUUAAGUUCGAAGAUUUAAUCAAGUCGGACGAUGUUUUACGACGGUGGUUUAUGAACGGUACGAAAAUUAUCCAACCGCUUCCGUCAGUGUCACUGCGUCAGAUGGUACAGUAGCUCGUAAAAGAAGCAGAUUUCACGGCGCAACAUUUGAGACAAAGUACCGUAUUCGGUUCGAUUUUAUCGAUCGACCGAUAACAGAGGACCCGAUACACAAAGAAUUUAGCCUUGGCCUACUGUUUCACCGAGUUCGGGACACGAACCAACGAAUCACCGUCGCAAAAGUCAAGCGUGAGUGUUGAUAGUCCGUUGCACAACGGUAGAAACGUGCCCACGAUGUUCUUUCCCGGCUGGCGGCUUAAUGGAGCGAUUCGUACCGUUUGUGAAUCGUGAUUAACACGAUUCGGUAUGCUCGACAUUGUGUCCUGUUUUUCAGCCAGCUGAUGGAUCGCGCCUCGAGGCCACUCGACCUACAUUAUUUUUCGCAACGAGGCCCACCUUUUUGUCAUAUCGUUCCUAUACUUCCCUGGAGAUUUGCUGCAACCAUUUAAACGAGAGCACGCGAGAAACGAGAAGACAAGGAGAAGUUACGCAAUGCUUCUCUGAGCUGAAAGAAGAACUGAAAUCUUAUAUCGCGUCAGUGAAAAUUUGUCCAAAGAAAAAGAAGUUCGAAAAAUAAUUCUGUAGGGAGUUAACUGUACAGAAUUGUGUAGCGAGUUCCCUCUGUUUCAUCGCAACGCAACGUAAUCAUACGUUGGAAAAUAAAAAUUCGAUUGGAUGAUUCUCCUUUGACCGUCUCGAUUACAUGGAAGUCGUCCGCGCAGGGGUAGGGAGUGGAAUUUCUCAUCAAGCUGGCUACCGAAGUCCAUGCCGCGGGAGAAAGUUUCGGCAUCGACGGGAAUUACGCACCGUUGAAAUAAUCGUCCGUCCGUGCAAAUACUUAGUCGUCCCCCGUCUAACGAACUUUGUUCAAGUGCAAUUACAAUCGUGAGAUGUGAUUGAACGUCUAGAUAUUCAUCGUCGAACAAUUGAAUGGAAACCUCGAAUAUGGGUCUAUAGGGCGUUUUAGCGAAAAUUGAAUUAACAAUAUGGUUUAAUAGCCUUUGUCAAUCGUUUUAGUAUACACAGGUUGUAGCUAUUUCGUCGGAAAGGGGACGUAAGAAGCACGUUAGGUGUUUGAAAUUUAUGGAACAGUGUAACUUAAAAACCGUUAUUUCCAAAAAUGUACUAAACGCGCUUUAGAGAUUUCCAUUCAAUUGCUCGACGAAAUACGACCGAAACGAUUUCUCUAUGAUGUCCGAAAUUUUAGAAACGUUAUAUUCAAGCGAGAAUUCGAUUCGCUUAAAAGCUUGUGCUUUUCGAAGAAUUUUACAUAAUUAAAAGUAGAUAAACGAAGAAACGGUGAUCCAAGUAAGAAACGAUAGCCACGAAAUGUCGACUUGACUCGCUUAAUUCCGCCUUUCUAGUUGCCUAAUUCACGACUCGAUCAAACGAAGAAUUCCCGUGGAUUUACUUUGUUUCUGUGGUGAACGGAGCGUAACCGUCCAAGGGAAAAGACAGAGAAAGACAGAGAAAGACAGAGAAAAAGAACGAAGAAUUUUACGCAGUCUUCGAUUCCGUGGUCCGAGGGAUAUGUCGAAGGUCUCGUUGUGGAGAAAUAUCUGCAGACACGCGAGGAGAAUAUUGAAAGAAUCGACACCAACGAUCGACCUAGCACGAGCACGAUAGAUCGCGCGUGAUUCACCAGUGGAACUUUGUCGUAUAAAAUUUUAAUACUCCUUAAAAUUAUACUUUACAAAAAUCCAAA